GGCGCCGGAGCGAGGCCCGUCGGCUGAGGUGAAAAAACCGCGGUUGUGCUGAGGUAAAAGCCCGCUGAUGCCGAGGUCGUUGAUGAAGAUGUUGAACAAGACUGGCCCCAGAAUCGAUCCCUGAGGAUCUCCACUGGCCACAGGCCUCCAACUCGACUCUGUGCCAUUGAUCACCACCCUCUGGGCUCUGUCACUUCCCACAUCUCCAGUGAAACACUGAGCAGCUCCUCCCAAACUUGGUGCCUCUCAUGGUUAUAACAGCAGUUGAUAAAACACUGGAGAUUUUCCCUAAGCACAGGGACCCUGGGGACACAGCAGGCUGAGAUGGAGGUAACUUGUACUCUUUAUUAUAAAAGAACAAAUUACAGCAAAUGAAAGUGUUACAGUCUGUAGCUCAGCACAGCGUUGUGGGGAGUGCUUCACAUCAGAGGGAAUCCUCCAGCCCUUAACUGCCCAAAAUCUGUUCAACCCAGUCGGGGCUACAUUGCAGCCAGACAGAAUGAAAGCAACAUCAAGCUAAUCAAGACCUUGAAGAGGGCAGCAACCUGGGUGGCUGUUAAAAGAAGAUUACAGCAAGCUCAAACAGUCCAGGAGAGAAUACAAAUAACUCCUUGCGAGCGUAAAUAAAGCACAUUCAAAUGUGUUUAAUUGUGCUUGCCAGUCUGAAAAUCUGGCUCAUCAUUCUUCUUCCCAUUUCUCAGUCAGAGGGUCACUGGUGCCUGAAAACACGGAUAUGCCAAGGAAGCCAGUUCCUCUUGGGAGCACGACUCUGCUCCACACAGACAUUUUCCCUUCUGUCACUUGGCAUAACUCCGUAUGUGACUCGAAAAUCCAAAAUAUAAACAAGAGAGAGGAACCAGGGCCAAUAGUGUUGCAAGCAGAAUUCUCAGAUCUUUCCACUAAGUGAAAACUACUUCUCCUCUAGAAAUAUUUCUCCAUUCCUUUUAGCUUAACCAGAAUGAUUUCUUUGUAACUUUUAACUUACAAGGAAAUGGGGGCAAAAAUAACCAUAGUCAAACACACAAGUAUUGGACUGUAAAACACACCAUUCAGGGCCUCCCUCUGUGAUAUACACUUCAGCAGGGAGGUGUGUCCCAUCUUGACAGUCUCUUCCUCUCAACUGCUUAUUUCUUUUCUCUUUCUUUUCCCAGGAUCAUUUUUCCUUUGUUGUUCUGUAAUGUCUUGCAAAUACAGUUAUGAAAUAUGUAAAUGUGCCUUCCUUCCUGCCAUUCUCACCUGUGUUACAAGUUAAAAACCUUCAGUGUGUUUACACAUCGUUCUAAGGAGGAACUGUCCCCCCUUUACUACCUUCUGCUCGUUCCCAUGUCCCAGGAUGCACAAAAUUACUGCAGCUUUGCAGGUUUUUCCUGAAAAUUGGUAAAUGAUACACCCAAGCUAAACAGAUGGAAAAUCCACCACGAGCACACACAGGCACCUUCUGAAAGCCAAGUGUAAGCUGUUACCUUCCUUCAGUUCCUCGUGGAUCGUGGGGAGUGUGGACCUGCUCCCAGUGUGGCACUGAAUAGGAGGAGGGUUUAUGUUAAGAUCUCUCUGGAGUAGUUGCUUAAGUAAUAACCUGUCUUCUUUCUCCAGGUGGAGCACCUGGUUCUGCUCUGGAAGGUGACCCCGGGAGGCUUUUUGCAUGGAGUCACACUGUC